UGCCGGGUCGUCUAAGGGCAGGACGUCUGAAUUUGGCUCAGAAAAUGGUGGUUCGAUUCCAUCCCUGGCAGCCA
rnacentral:tRNA from 1 species